UACGUAGGGAGCAAGCGUUGUCCGGAAUCAUUGGGCGUAAAGCGCGCGUAGGCGGCCUCGUAAGUCCGUUGUGAAAGUCAAAGGCUCAACCUUUGAAAGCCGAUGGAUACUGUGAGGCUAGAGUCCGGAAGAGGCGAGUGGAAUUCCUGGUGUAGCGGUGGAAUGCGCAGAUAUCAGGAGGAACACCAAUAGCGAAGGCAGCUCGCUGGGACGGUACUGACGCUAAGGCGCGAAAGCGUGGGAGCGAACGAGG
rnacentral:rRNA from 1 species